rnacentral:lncRNA from 1 species
AAGUCAACAACAAUUGGUGCCUCGCAAGCUAAACUUUGAGAAAAGGUAUGGGUAUUUAACUAGAAGUCUUUACUUAACAUUACUAUUCAUAUUUCAUUUUAAAGAUUUAAAAGAUCUGGUGAACAUAUCUACUGGAGCUCACCAAAUUUUUAUUGCAUUGCAGGUAAUUGAUUGGAAAGAGGUUGCCGCUUGGAUUAUGCAUACCUUUUUUUGUUCAUUAGAAACUUUUAGUUGUAAACAUCUCUCCAUUUUUGGUACUUUUGUAUACAUUAAUGUGAGAUGAAUGAACCAUUCAAUCAUUGAAAGUUUGGAGAGUUGACAUAUUCUGACUAUAGAUAAUGUAUUAAAAAAUCAUAUAGUAUGUAUUGGCGAAUACCAUGUUUUAAAUAUCAUAUUCUAAAAACUAUAUAUCAAUAUACCUGAAGGUGUGCAUCACUUAGCCAUGUACUAUGUAUUAAUUUACUAAAAGAUAGAUCCCCCUC